rnacentral:rRNA from 1 species
CACGUAGGGACCAAGCGUUGUCCGGAUUCAUUGGGCGUAAAGAGCUCGUAGGCGGUUCGAUAAGUCGGGUGUGAAACCUCCAGGCUCAACCUGGAGACGCCACCCGAUACUGUCGUGACUAGAGUCCAGUAGGGGAGCGUGGAAUUCCUGGUGUAGCGGUGAAAUGCGCAGAUAUCAGGAGGAACACCGGUGGUGUAGACGGCUUUCUGGACCGUAACUGACGCUGAGACACGAAAGCGUGGGUAGCAAACAGG